UUUCAAGAUCAAAGUCUUUUUCAAACCCA
rnacentral:piRNA from 1 species